AUCGGGCUGGAUCGGCGUGUUCCACGCAGCUCAAGAUCUUGCUGUGGCCUCUGCAGUCUUGCCCAUCUGAACUGGGCUGGACUGGCCUGUUCCUCAGAGCUCAGGAGCUUGCUCUCUCCUUUGCAGACUUGCACAUCUGAAGUGGUCUGGAUCCGCCUUUUCCAGGAAGCUCGGGAGCUUGCUGUGUCUUCCGUGGAUUUGCCCUUCUGAGCCGUGGUGGAUAAUCGUGUUCCUCGUAGCUCGGGAGCUUUGCUGUGGCCUCCGCAGACUUGCCUGUGUGUACCAGGCCAGAUUGGCGUGUGCCUCACAGCUCGGGAGCUUGCUGUGGCCUCCACAGACUUGCCCGUCUGAACUGGGGUGGAUCAUCGUGUUCUUUGCAGAUGGGGAGCUUGCUGUCCCCUCUUACAUGACGUUUCAGUGUAGCUGUUUUCAUGGAAGAAAAGUGAAAAUCUCCCAUCCACACCCUCAGUCACAGAAUCUCACUCCUCAGAGGAGUAACUUUCACUUCAUGAGCUUGACAGCGUUCAUCUUUAAUUAUUUGUAAUCAUCUGAUUACAAAUUUAUUCAAGCUUCCAGCUCUCGCUGUGACUAUUACCUUGUAUUUAUUUCACUCUGAGGUCUCGCCUUCAAUUACUGCCCAACAGGUGGUGUAAAAAGAGGACUCAGUGGCUGGGUGUGAUGCCGAGGGCCUGUGAUCCCAGCACUUCGGAGACUGGAGCAGGAGGAUCACCGUGAGAGCAAGGCCACCUUGGGCUACACAGGGAGACCAUGUAUCAAAAAAUAAAUAAAUAAGGGCCGGGGAUAUACUCAGUGGCACAGCGGCCGCCUGACAAGCGAGAGGCCCUGAGUUCAAUUCCUGAUACCAAAAAAAAAAAAAAAGGAACUGUCUGGCUAGGCUUGGUGGUACAUGCCUGUUAUCCCAGCACUCAGGAGGCAGCAGCAGGAGGAUCACUGUGAGUUCGAAGCCAGCCUGAACUACGUAGUGAGAGCCUGUCUCAAAAAAUAAAUAAAUUUAAACAAAUAAAUAAAUAAAUAAAAGACAAUUCAGGCAUCCACUGUGUUAAAAGCAAUAAUUGUGCCUGCUUCAAUGUGGACUUUUAAAUUCUCAACAAAUUAUCAUAAUUAAAGUAUUUUUCUCUUCAAUAUGGAACACUUAGCCAAGCAUGGUGACACACACCUGCACUAAGGGAGGCUGGGGCAGGAGGAUAUCAAGUUUGAGUCCUACCUGGGCAAGUUAUUGAGACCCUAUCUCAAAAAAAAAAUUUUAAAAGGCCAGAGGAUUGGGAUCUAGUUCAGUGGUAGAAUGCACCUGGGUUUGAUUCUCAGUACCAAAUAAGGAAAGAACGGAAGAGAACACUUAGGGCAGGGGAUGCAGUUCAGUGGUAGAGCCUGUGUUUAGCAUGUGGCGCCCCCCCCCCCGACCCCAAAUGUUAAUAGUUAUCAUAGGAAUCAACAAUUUAACCUUUCAGUAUGUAUGCAACAGAAAGACAAAACAAAACAUGUCUAUCUACAUACACAAAUACCCUGCACAUGAAAUGAAAAAGAUCACUUUGAGGGCUUCCACAAGCCUACUGGAUGAAAACUUACAUUUAGGUUAAAACAGAUCAGACAGAAGUGCUCAUAAUUCAGUCAGCUGAUUUAUCAUUCAGUUAACACUGCUAACCACAGUAACAGCCUUGAUAUCUUAAACCUCUGCAGGAACCUUGAUAAGAGUUAUUAUUUUUUUCUUCUUAGUCACUGAUAUAAAAUAGGAGGGCAAAACAAAAUAGAAGCCAAAAGAAAAAUCCCAUUAAAAUGCUAGUUAAUAAAAGGCAUUAAAAUA